rnacentral:rRNA from 1 species
GUGCCAGCAGCCGCGGUAAGACAGAGGUUGCAAACGUUGUUCGGAAUUACUGGGCAUAAAGCGCACGUAGGUGGUUCGCUAAGUCGGAUGUGAAAUUCCCCGGCUCAACCGGGGAACGGCAAUCGAUACUGGCGGACUUGAGGUCCGGAGGGGUGAGUGGAACUCCUGGUGGAGCGGUGAAAUGCGUAGAUAUCAGGAGGAACACCGGUGGCGAAAGCGGCUCACUGGCCGGAAUCUGACACUGAGGUGCGAAAGCUAGGGUAGCAAACGGGAUUAGAUACCCCCGUAGUCC